GUCCAGACUCCUACGGGAGGCAGCAGUGGGGGAUAUUGCACAAUGGGGGAAACCCUGAUGCAGCGACGCCGCGUGAGUGAAGAAGUAUUUCGGUAUGUAAAGCUCUAUCAGCAGGGAAGAUAAUGACGGUACCUGACUAAGAAGCCCCGGCUAACUACGUGCCAGCAGCCGCGGUAAUACGUAGGGGGCAAGCGUUAUCCGGAUUUACUGGGUGUAAAGGGUGCGUAGGUGGCAGGGCAAGUCAGAUGUGAAAGCCCGGGGCUCAACCCCGGGACUGCAUUUGAAACUGUCCAGCUGGAGUGCAGGAGAGGUAAGCGGAAUUCCUAGUGUAGCGGUGAAAUGCGUAGAUAUUAGGAGGAACACCAGUGGCGAAGGCGGCUUACUGGACUGUAGCUGACACUGAGGCACGAAAGCGUGGGGAGCAAACAGGAUUAGAUACCCCAGUAAA
rnacentral:rRNA from 1 species